AACGAACGCUGGCGGCAUGCCUAACACAUGCAGGUCGAACGAGACCUCCGGGUCUACUUGCUCACGGGUGCGUCACGCGUGGGAACCUUCCCUUAUGUUCCGAAUAACUCUCCUUAAGGGGUGCUAAUACCGGAUAAUUUCCUCUGACCCAAGAUUUAUCGUCUUUGGAUGGGCCCGCGUUGGUUUAGCCUGUUGCUAGGGUAAAAGCCUACGACGGCGACGAUCCUUAGCUGGGAAGAGAGGAUGGGCAGCCACACUGGGGCUGGGAACCGGCCGGGAAUCCUACGGGAGGCGGCAGUGGGGGAUAUUGGACAAUGGGCGGAGGCCUGAUCCAGCAAUGCCGGGUGAGUGAUGAAGUCCUUAGGGAUGUAAAGCUCGUUUACCCGGGAUGAUAAUGACGGUACCGGGAGAAUAAGCACCGGCUAACUCCGUG
rnacentral:rRNA from 1 species